ACUUAUAUAGUUUAACUUAAAACUCUUCAUUUUCAAUGAAAAGAUAGACCAAUCUUAUAAGUA
rnacentral:tRNA from 1 species